GAAAAGAGAAAAACACUCUUUGGCUUUGUCCUGUCUGAUCCAAAGAAUAGGGUGUUCCUUUGCAGUUUUCUCAUUGUGAUAUCAUUGGUUUGUGGUGCUUAUUUAGUUGGCAAUGCAUUCACCACCAAGGAGUAUAAACAAGCGAAGGACACCUUCAAAGUUCCCUUCAAAUCUGAAGGGAAGGGAAACUUCAGAACAGUGAGCUUCAAAUUCAAAGCAGUUGCACCAAGAACAAGACUCGUAUUCUACAACUCCUUUUACCAUACCAGAAUUGAUGAUUAUGAAUCUCUCUGUGGCCCUGUUCUUGACCAGGUUAUAGUGUUCCCUGUCGCCUAAGUUAUUAAACCAUUAAUGUAGUACUCAGUAACUAUGAUUUUUGCAAGUUACUUGAGCCUGUCUUCUGUAUAAUUGCACGAGACCAUACCACUCCUUCUGUAUAAUUUUAAUUUCUGUUCAUUACAAAAUUUGGCUCAAGAGUUUGAAGAUCAAAUUUUUAAUCAUGGGAGUUGAAUGUUCAUGAAAUGAUUAAGUAGUAUAUUUUAGUUUUUGAUUAUUACCAUGUGUUAUUGGAAAUCAUGAGUUUCAAUAAGCAUGCAUUUGUUUCACGACUUGUGGUUGCAGGCAAUAAUUGAUUGCAGAUUUUUUACAUUGCUUGCGGUAGCAGGAUCUUUUACUUGGCUCGGUACUUUGUUUUGUUGAGUUCCAAUACUUUCUCAAGGACCUUGUAAAUUAUGAUGUUAAAUAUCAGAGAAGCAGCUUUUAGGAGUAAGCACAAGCGAACCACAGCAGAAAUUGAGACCAAAAAGGUUGGUUCCACUCAGCCAUACUUCAGAGGAAAAUAUAGUUACUGUUCCCACUACUAAAGGUGGAGUGAGAAGGAAACAUCAUCGAGCGUGGACUCUUGUUGAGGUAAUGAAGUUGGUUGACGGUGUAUCACGGUGUAGCGCAGGGAGGUGGUCUGAGAUCAAACUGCUCUCCUUUUCAUCACACUCGUAUCGUACCUCUGUCGAUCUUAAGGAUAAGUGGAGGAAUUUGCUCAAGGCUAGCUUUGCUCAGGCACCUGCAGAUGAAGGGGCAUUUAGGAGAGCAGGUUAUACUGAGGCUUCAGUUGAUCGGGUUUCACCUGCUGGAUUGCCACCAGUUUCUGUUCUUUCAGCUCUUGUUAAUGAUGAGGAUGGAUCCAUGUCUUCUUUGCCCACUCUAACAAACUUAGCAUUGGAAUACAACUUUCCUAUUGUAUCAAUUACUGAUUUGAUAAGCAGCGUGAAGAAGGAAAAAGAAGAUAUGUAUCCUGAAAUGGAAUGAGAGAGGAGAAGGAAAACAUAGGGUAACACAUACAAGAAGAAAUAAUGACUCAGUGCAACAGUAAUGAUUACCCUAAACAAUCAUAGCACCAUUGUGGAGAGGAACAAAGAUAGCUUAAUUAGCAAAACUUGUCCAUCAGGCGGUCAUCAUAUCAAAUGCCAACAAGACCACUAGAAACUAAUCUGAUAGGAACCAAUCUAUAGCAACGUGUUGGUCUUGUUAGAUCAAGUAAAGAAAUGAGAUCACCGGCCAUCCAAAACAUACAUAACAGGAACAAGGAAAAGAAGAAAGGUUCACACUGAUAUUGAUGGCAGUGAAACAAGGUGGCACAAAAUUAUCGCAUAUAUAUAUAUGCACUUCUAUUGGAAUACAAUGACUAUGUUCCUCCAAAUAAAGAGGAUUGGGGGCAGCCUGGCUUUACUUUAAUCUGAAAGAAGACGAUUUGGUAACAUCUUAAAAGAUUACUAAAGAUAGAAGAGAGACAACUAUGGCACAGGGUCCUCUCUUGACGCUCGGCCAAUCAUGUUAUAAGAAAAGCAUGCCCAGUGGAAGAAAGGACUGGAAAAACCAAGAGAGCCAGUAGCAUUUAGAAGAUAGUUCUUCUUCUAUGUUAGGUGGGAUGCCCCAAUGGGGGCAGGUUCCAUGCCCUGCCCAAUUUAGAAUCAAUUGUAAAGAAAAUUUGGUUGGGCAUGUUUCUUCAUCAAAAAAUAAAGUAGGUACUGUUGCCCCACCAAAUAUAGAAUCUUCGGCGGCAGCAUUCAACUUCUCUAGUGCAUAGUCAGAUACAACAAAGUCUGAUAAAAUGCUCAUUGAAGAAGUUCAGAGACUGAGAGCUGAGUUAAAGAGACUUGAAGAACAGUGUGAACUCAAAAACCAUAAGAUACAAGAGUGCCAACAGAAAAUUGAGGAGGGUUGGUUUGUAGCAAAGGAAGAAGCUGCUAAGUCCAAAGCAGCAAAAGAGGUCAUAAAAGCUUUGGCUGUAAGGCCGGCUUGAUAGAAAUUUCCGGACAGGAGAGGUUCCUACAAAUCUUUGUAAGAGAUGAGUUUGGAUAAUAAAGUUGGAGUGUUGGAGUAAGAAACAAAGAUAUUGGAGCAAGUUCCUGGAAUGAAACUCACACAAGAGACCAAGAAACUAAGGCAAGCUUAUUUUAAAGUUAAUUACAAAGGGAGGAAACUUUUGGCCUCCAAAUCUUAUUCAUCAUCACUUAGCUAAGCUACUUGUCUUGUAUAUCAUAUUCUAAGUAAUAAAAACAGUACUUAUUAGUAAGACAAGGUUUUGUAUAGGAGUUAUUACUUUUGAUUUUUAAUGAUAAAAAA